rnacentral:lncRNA from 1 species
CUUGUCGUCCUAUGACUAACCCCGGAGAUGGACACAUGGAUGUGUCAAGUUCAGAGGAAGGUGAAAAUUCUGGUACCAGUUCACACUCAUCGAGUAUAGUAGAGCCAUCAGGAGACCAAGCAGCUGCAAUGACAGCAUCUGAUAAUGACAGUGGUCCAAGGUCAGAGCUGACCUCCAAUCCCAGCCAAAAUUCGAUCAUUACAAGGUGUAAACGCAAAGGCAAAAAAACUCAAAUCAUGGAAGCCAUGGAGAGAGGGAUAAACAUGUUAAUACAACAUGACAAAGAAACAACAGCAGCAGAGGUUGAACAGCGUCUUGACAAGGAGCACAUGGCCUGGGAGAGACAGUUCCAGCAGGCCAGACUGGAUCUGGAAAGAGCACGUCUUGAAUUUGAGAUGAAGCGUCAGGAAGCUGAAGACAGGCGUGCUCAAGAUACCCAGCAAUUCAUGGUUCAAAUUCUGCAAGUGCUUAGACCUGCAAUGCCACAGUAUGGACCCUCAACUUCAUUUGCACAAUAUCAACAUCCAGCUCAGCACUAUUAUCCAUCUGAUCCAUUUGCUUUUCCACCUGGUGAAGCCUCACACCAAAAUCUGUCAACAUCAGUUGUCCAAGAUCAACGUUCCCUGUCUGACCAAAGAAAUGACCACUAG